rnacentral:Y_RNA from 1 species
GGAAAAACAAAAGGCAGUGAGUUCUCUCAGCCAAUUUCUCAGCCAAUUACAGGUCAACCUUCUCGUCUACCCCUCUCACUGCUGCGCUUGACUGGUCUUUG